GAAAUACAAGUAGUGAAGUCCGUGAGCCAUGCGUCAAGAAAAGCCGCUAUUGUUUAUACCGUACCCGUACCGUAAACCGACACAGGUGGAUGAGGAGAGAAUCCUAAGGCCGGCGGAAGAAGCAUUGUCAAGGAACUCGGCAAAAUGACCCCGUAACUUCGGGAGAAGGGGUGCCACUGAGAAGUGGCCGCAGAGAAUAGGCUCAAGCAACUGUUUAGCAAAACGCAGGUCUAUGCGAAACCGAAAGGUGAGGUAUAUGGGCUGACGCCUGCCCGGUGCUGGAAGGUUAAGGGGAGAGGUUAGCGCAAGCGAAGCUUUGAAUUUAAGCCCCAGUAAACGGCGGCCGUAACUAUAACGGUCCUAAGGUAGCGAAAUUCCUUGUCGGGUAAGUUCCGACCCGCACGAAAGGCGUAAUGAUUUGAGCGCUGUCUCGACAAUGCAUCCGGUGAAAUUGAAGUACCAGUGAAGAUGCUGGUUACCUGCGCCAGGACGGAAAGACCCCAUGGAGCUUUACUCCAGUCUGGUACUGGGGUCCGGUAUUGCAUGUACAGGAUAGGUGGGAGGCUAGGAAGCAGUAACGCCAGUUGCUGCGGAGCCGCUGUUGGGAUACCACCCUUGCAGUACUGGGCUUCUAACCAGCCGCCGUGAACCGGCGGUGGGACAAUGCCAGACGGGGAGUUUGACUGGGGCGGUCGCCUCCGAAAGGGUAUCGGAGGCGCCCAAAGGUUCCCUCAGAAUGGACGGAAACCACUCGAAGAGUGCAAAGGCAGAAGGGAGCUUGACUGCGACACCGACGGGUGGAGCAGGUACGAAAGUAGGGCUUAGUGAUCCGGUGGUAUUAAGUGGGAAUGCCAUCGUUCAACGGAUAAAAGCUACCCUGGGAUAACAGGCUUAUCACUCCCAAGAGUUCACAUCGACGGAGUGGUUUGGCACCUCGAUGUCGGCUCAUCGCAUCCUGGGGCUGUAGUAGGUCCCAAGGGUUGGGCUGUUCGCCCAUUAAAGCGGUACGCGAGCUGGGUUCAGAACGUCGUGAGACAGUUCGGUCCCUAUCCGGCGUGGGCGUAGGAUAUCUGAGAGGAGCUGUCCUUAGUACGAGAGGACCGGGAUGGACGGACCGCUGGUGUACCGGUUAGACUGCCAAGUCUACGGCCGGGUAGCCAAGUCCGGAAGGGAUAAACGCUGAAGGCAUCUAAGCGUGAAGCCCCCCUCAAGAUGAGAUGUCCCAUUCGAAAGAAGUAAACCCCCUUGAAGACGACGAGGUAGAUAGGGCAGGGGUGGAAGUGCAGUAAUGCAUGGAGCUGACUGUUACUAAUAGGGUGAGGGCUUAAUC
rnacentral:rRNA from 1 species